rnacentral:rRNA from 1 species
GACGAACGCUGGCGGCGUGCUUAACACAUGCAAGUCGAACGGAAAGGCCCUGCUUGCAGGGUACUCGAGUGGCGAACGGGUGAGUAACACGUGGGUGAUCUGCCCUGCACUUCGGGAUAAGCCUGGGAAACUGGGUCUAAUACCGGAUAGGAGCCAUUUUUAGUGUGAUGGUUGGAAAGUUUUUUCGGUGUAGGAUGAGCUCGCGGCCUAUCAGCUUGUUGGUGGGGUAAUGGCCUACCAAGGCGGCGACGGGUAGCCGGCCUGAGAGGGUGGACGGCCACAUUGGGACUGAGAUACGGCCCAGACUCCUACGGGAGGCAGCAGUGGGGAAUAUUGCACAAGGGGCGCAAGCCUUAUGCAGCGACGCCGCGUGGGGGAUGACGGCCUUAGGGUUGUAAACUCCUUUCGCUAGGGACGAAGCUUUUUGUGACGGUACCUAGAGAAGAAGCACCGGCUAACUACGUG